GAUGAACGCUGGCGGCGUGCCUAAUACAUGCAAGUCGAGCGAACAGACGAGGAGCUUGCUCCUUUGACGUUAGCGGCGGACGGGUGAGUAACACGUAGGUAACCUACCUAUAAGACUGGGAUAACUUCGGGAAACCGGAGCUAAUACUGGAUAAUAUUUCGAACCGCAUGGUUCGAUAGUGAAAGAUGGCUUUGCUAUCACUUAUAGAUGGACCUGCGCCGUAUUAGCUAGUUGGUAAGGUAACGGCUUACCAAGGCAACGAUACGUAGCCGACCUGAGAGGGUGAUCGGCCACACUGGAACUGAGACACGGUCCAGACUCCUACGGGAGGCAGCAGUAGGGAAUCUUCCGCAAUGGGCGAAAGCCUGACGGAGCAACGCCGCGUGAGUGAUGAAGGUCUUCGGAUCGUAAAACUCUGUUAUUAGGGAAGAACAAACGUGUAAGUAACUGUGCACGUCUUGACGGUACCUAAUCAGAAAGCCACGGCUAACUACGUG
rnacentral:rRNA from 1 species